GGGGAAGACGAAGGCCCAACGCCAUCUUGGGCCUCGCUGCUCCGACAACGCGCAACCUGACCGUCGAGCUGGUUUGCUUGCUCAGACGAUGCAUUCUAAUCUUGAAUUGCAGAUGGAGUCCAGUAAAGGAGCAACUGACAAGGGAUUGAUGUGACCAACUUGCACCAGCCCACAGGUGUCGCCAUGCUUCUGGCGCCAACAUAUCAUGCCCUCAACUCCUAACCCGUACUUCUUUGGAAUGUGGGAGGAAACCAGAGCACCCAGAGGAAACCCACGCAGUCACGGGGAGGAUGUACAAACUCCUUACAGACAGUGGCGGGAAUUGAACCCAGGUCGCUGG